rnacentral:rRNA from 1 species
UACGUAGGGGGCAAGCGUUGUCCGGAAUCAUUGGGCGUAAAGCGCGUGUAGGCGGCCCGGUAAGUCCGCUGUGAAAGUCGGGGGCUCAACCCUCGAAUGCCGGUGGAUACUGUCGGGCUAGAGUGCGGGAGAGGCGAGUGGAAUUCCUGGUGUAGCGGUGAAAUGCGCAGAUAUCAGGAGGAACACCAAUUGCGAAGGCAGCUCGCUGGAACGUAACUGACGCUGAGACGCGAAGCGUGGGGAGCAAACAGG